CCCCUUCCGUAGGGUGACCUGCGGAAGGAUCAUUACAGUAGUCACCCAGGUUGCCGCAAGGCCUCCUGGGUAACCUACCACCCUUUGUUUAUUACACUUUGUUGCUUUGGCAAGCCUGCCCUCGGGCUGCUGGCUCCGGCCGGCGAGCGCUUGCCAGAGGACCUAAACUCUGUUUGUCUAUACUGUCUGAGUACUAUAUAAUAGUUAAAACUUUCAACAACGGAUCUCUUGGUUCUGGCAUCGAUGAAGAACGCAGCGAAAUGCGAUAAGUAAUGUGAAUUGCAGAAUUCAGUGAAUCAUCGAAUCUUUGAACGCACAUUGCGCCCCCUGGUAUUCCGGGGGGCAUGCCUGUCCGAGCGUCAUUACAACCCUCAAGCUCAGCUUGGUAUUGGGCCCCGCCGACCCGGCGGGCCCUAAAGUCAGUGGCGGUGCCGUCCGGCUCCGAGCGUAGUAAUUCUUCUCGCUCUGGAGGUCCGGUCGUGUGCUCGCCAGCAACCCCCAAUUUUUUUCAGGUUGACCUCGGAUCAGGUAGGGAUACCCGCUGAACUUAAGCAUAUCAU
rnacentral:rRNA from 1 species